rnacentral:rRNA from 1 species
GAUGAACGCUGGCGGAAUGCUUUACACAUGCAAGUCGAACGGUAGAGGGGGCAACCCCUCGAGAGUGGCGAACGGGUGAGUAAUAUAUCGGAACGUGCCCAGUCGUGGGGGAUAACGUAGCGAAAGUUACGCUAAUACCGCAUACGAUCUACGGAUGAAAGCGGGGGAUCGCAAGACCUCGCGCGAUUGGAGCGGCCGAUAUCAGAUUAGGUAGUUGGUGGGGUAAAGGCUCACCAAGCCAACGAUCUGUAGCUGGUCUGAGAGGACGACCAGCCACACUGGAACUGAGACACGGUCCAGACUCCUACGGGAGGCAGCAGUGGGGAAUUUUGGACAAUGGACGCAAGUCUGAUCCAGCCAUUCCGCGUGCAGGAUGAAGGCCCUCGGGUUGUAAACUGCUUUUGUACGGAACGAAAAGGUUUCUAUUAAUACUAGGAGCUCAUGACGGUACCGUAAGAAUAAGCACCGGCUAACUACGUGCCAGCAGCCGC